CCUACGGGUGGCAGCAGUGAGGAAUAUUGGUCAAUGGACGAGAGUCUGAACCAGCCAAGUAGCGUGAAGGAUGACUGCCCUAUGGGUUGUAAACUUCUUGUAUAAAGGAAUAAAACGAGGCACGUGUGCCUUUUUGCAUGUACUUUAUGAAUAAGGAUCGGCUAACUCCGUGCCAGCAGCCGCGGUAAGACGGAGGAGCCGAGCGUUAGCCGGAUUUAUUGGGUUGAAAGGGAGCGUAGAUGGGUUGUUAAGUCAGUUGUGAAAGUUUGCGGCUCCACCGUAAAAGUGCAAUUGAUACUGGCAGUCUUGCGUACAGUUGAGGUCGGCGCACUUCGUUGUGUAGCGG
rnacentral:rRNA from 1 species